rnacentral:rRNA from 1 species
GACGAACGCUGGCGGCGUGCUUAACACAUGCAAGUCGCACGGGACUGGGGGCAACUCCAGUUCAGUGGCGGACGGGUGCGUAACACGUGAGCAACAUGUCCAAGGGUGGGGGAUAGCCGGCCCAACGGCCGGGUAAUACCGCAUGCAGUCACUGGCGGCAUUGCUGGUGACGAAAGCCGGGGCACCUGGCGCCCAUGGAGUGGCUUGCGGCCUAUCAGCUAGUUGGUGGGGUAACGGCUCACCAAGGCGACGACGGGUAGCUGGUCUGAGAGGAUGACCAGCCACAUUGGGACUGAGACACGGCCCAGACUCCUACGGGAGGCAGCAGUGGGGAAUAUUGCGCAAUGGGCGAAUGCCUGACGCAGCGACGCCGCGUGUGGGAUGAAGGUCUUCGGAUCGUAAACCACUGUCAGAGGGGACGAAGGCCCGGGGUUAACUGCCGCCGGGAUUGACGGUACCCUCGGAGGAAGCACCGGCUAACUCUGUGCCAGC